rnacentral:rRNA from 1 species
UACGUAGGGUGCAAGCGUUGUCCGGAAUUAUUGGGCGUAAAGAGCUCGUAGGCGGUCUGUUGCGUCGGCUGUGAAAACCCGGGGCUCAACUCCGGGCCUGCAGCCGAUACGGGCAGACUAGAGUUCGGCAGGGGAGACUGGAAUUCCUGGUGUAGCAGUGAAAUGCGUAGAUAUCAGGAGGAAUACCGAUGGCGAAGGCAGGUCUCUGGGCUGACACUGACGCUCAUGCACGAAAGCGUGGGGAGCAAACAGG